GGACCCAUAGCUCAGCGGUAGAGCAUCUGAUUCCAGCUUGAUUCAAUCAAGCGAGCAUCCAGAAGGUCAUCCGUUCAAAUCGGGUUGGGUUCA